GCAGGGAAUCUUGCGCAAUGGGCGAAAGCCUGACGCAGCAACGCCGCGUGGGGGAUGAAGGCCUUCGGGUUGUAAACCCCUUUCAGGAGGGAAGAAAUUGACGGUACCUCCAGAAGAAGGACCGGCCAACUACGUGCCAGCAGCCGCGGUAAUACGUAGGGUCCUAGCGUUAUCCGGAAUCAUUGGGCGUAAAGAGCUCGUAGGCGGUUCAGCAAGUCGGCUGUGAAAGUCCGAGGCUCAACCUCGGAAUUGCAGUCGAUACUGCUGUGACUCGAGUCCGGUAGAGGAGAAUGGAAUUCCCGGUGUAGCGGUGAAAUGCGCAGAUAUCGGGAGGAACACCAGUAGCGAAGGCGGUUCUCUGGGCCGGCACUGACGCUGAGGAGCGAAAGCGUGGGGAGCAAACAGGAUUAGAAACCCUAGUAGUCC
rnacentral:rRNA from 1 species